CACCGCCCAUCACACUAUAGGAGCUGGCCAUGUUUGAAGUCAUUACCCUUAACCGUAAGGAGGGGGAUGCCUAAGGCUAGGCUUGCGACUGGAGUGAAGUCGUAACAAGGUAGCCGUACUGGAAGGUGCGGCUG
rnacentral:ncRNA from 2 species